AUGCCCAGACCUCUCAGAAUGUUUGCCUCCCUGCCAAGCCUUUUCUGAGGACUCUGUUGGGCAGCCUGGCAAAGCUCUGAGCAGUGGAGACGUUUGCCCCACUUCACUCUCUGCAGAGUUCUGUCCCAUUCCCCCAGGCAGGAGCACAGCCGUCCCUCACACUGAAGACAACACUCUUUAGCCUGCUGGGGAGACUCCUGGGGCAAAAUUUUGUGCUUGGGUUGAUACAGUGCCAAGCAACAUGGUACUAAAGAACCAUUGACCCUGGGAAACCAGCUGCAGAGAAGGCACGUGAUAGGAUUGCGCUUCUUGGCUCCCCGUGGCUGGCUGGAGGCGGAGUGAUAAUUUACGGCCAGUGGAUUGUGCAUGGGAGGACAUACAUCAUUUCUGGGCUUGGGCAUUUCAUCGCCAGCGCAGGGCCUUCCACGAGGCUCUCUGCCUGCCAACAGUGUGGACGGUGUUCAAGAUGGCCGCUGCUCUCCAGUGAGAAGUGGAACAGACCCCGAAUGUGAACAGGGCGCAUGAGGGAAAUUCCCCUCUGUUGUCCUAAAACCCCUGUUUCUAGCUACACUGGCACUCCAAUUUCGAUUCCCCAAAUCAUGCUAAUUUUCUUUCUUCAAGGUUCUGUGCCCUCUAGUGACUUCCUUCCUCCUUCCUUUCCUUUUGUUUGUCUCUU